AUUGCUUAUUAUAAAAAAAACUCUUCAAAAUCAAAUGAAGCUGCCAUUAUAAUCGUUGUAAAUAAAUGUUAAUAAUUUGAACAGCGACAACAGCUAUAAAUGGAGGCUUUUGCAAGUAAAUAAAUCAUCAAAGCACAAUUUAUUCUUCAUCUUCUACUUAAGAAAUCUUUGUAUCUGUUUCAAUAAUAUCAUCCAUUCAAAUCAUCAAUAGAAGCAUUCAACAUAAUCAAGAUCAAACAGUGUCUCAACCAUAUGGAUUUUCUAAGCUCAAACACAUCCAGUUAAUCAAACAUACAACAAAUGAGCCAUGGCAACAUGACAUAAACUCUCACUUCCUUAGCAUGUCUUAUAGGCUUGUCCAAGCAAACAUUCUUGACAUUGACAUCCUACAACAUCUUCUUUAAGCUGGUGUAUUACUCUGGAAUUAUUGUUGCUACAUCAAUCUCAUCUCCAGCUACCACAACCCCGAUCUCCAUGUAAACAUGGCUGCAAGUUAUAAACAACAACAUAUCGUAAGUAACAAAAAAUCAUUAAUAAAUUAAAAUAUGCUACAUGAAAGUUUAAAGAAAAUUAUACCAUCAAUAAUAAUCAUUUCAAGAUGAGAACAUCAAGCAAGAUUACGACAUGGACUCAGCUGGUUUGAGUUUAAGUUUUAGAGGCCAAAACACAUCAAACUUUGUGUGUAGUCGACAAAUUUAGAAUUGAUAUGUACAUCUCUUUCUAUGUGUAAAAGCAAAUAAUUGUCUUAAUAUAUGAGAAUGAAAAUACUAUUGGCGACGAAAGCUUCCUAUCAUUACAUGCUCUGAUGAGCUCAAAAUUUUUAACAAUACAUGCCACAAAGGAAGAGAAUUGAUAUUACCAGCCUUUUCAAAGCCAUGGCACCAUGCUGCCUAAGUAUUGAAAAUUAUAAGCUGGCACAAUCAUUGAAACUCCCAAACCCAAUUUAAAGUUCAAGGAUUAGAAGAAAAAAAUCAGCAUCGCUAAUUCUAAUUCUAUGAGGCCUAAGAUCCAUCAGCUAUGUUACUAUCCAGAUGAACAAAAACAUUUGAAAGAGAUGGAGAUGUCUCAUCAUGGAAGAAAAGGAAUUAAUGGAAUUAAAAGAAGAAAAUAAAAAGGAAGAGAUGGAAAUGCAGAUCUAGGUGAGCAAUGGAUAUCGUUUGGCUAGUUUUUCUCUUCUCCAACACCAACUUGUUUAACCAGACAAAAUUAAUAGAACAACAAAUUAAAGCUGUGUUUUAAAAGAUAUAUUCUAAAAGCAAAUUUGAUAUACUUCCAACUCCAAAUAGAUCAAGAUAAGAUGAAAGUAUCACAGUGAUUAUAAUCUUUUUUUUUUUUUUUGAAUGAGAACAUCAGAUUGUAAUAAUACUUUCUGCUUGCAUUUCCAUAAAUUAGUUCCUCAUUUGCAACCUAUGUGCUACCAACAUGACAACUUAUAAUAAUAAAAUGAUUAAGCAUUAAAUCGGCAUAAUAAAGAUUUGAAGAACCUUGUUAUGGCUAUGAAAUAGCUUUUCCAUCAAUGGAAAACAAAAUAAAUUUAAAUUGGAAAGCUGCGUAAGAUUGAUUUGGCUAAGGAACUGUAGAAUUAAAUGAUUUGUUUCUUGAGUGUUUCUUUUUUUCUUUUCUUUCCUUUGAUAUUAAUAUUUUAUUUUACAUAUAAAAUACACGAAAGAAUUACAAGAUGUCUCUGUUAAUGUUUUGUUUGUUGCAUAGAGUGAUUCCCAAAGCUCUCAUGCCUCAUAAGGUACUGUUGUUAUAUCUAUCUAUCUCCUCUACUGCAUGUGUGUGUGUAAUUGUGUAUAUGCUUUCUUUUAUUCCAUUAGUAGAAUAUUAUCAAGUAUCAAAGCAAUUAGUUAACAAAACCCUUACUUAAUUUGCAGAUAUUAGGAGAAAGCCAAUCAUAGAUAAUAUGCUACAUAAAAGGUUUGCAUAUGAGAGAAUUUCAACCGUGUAUGUUUUUUUUUUGGAAAAAAACACAAACACAUAAUAACUGCUCUUCAAUUCUAAAGACGAAAAACACAGUGAAUAUUUAAAAUUAAAAAAAUAAAAGAAAAUAAAAAAGAUGAACAACAAUCAGAACAACAACUUACUAUAAUUGACUAACAGAAAAAGAAAUCAGAGACCACACUUGUCGAGAUCAACAUGCAUAAAAAAAAAAUCAAAAUUCGAAAACCCAUUUUCAUUUGUAAGUAAUUUAGAAUCAACCCAUUCUUAAAAAAAAAAAAAAGAAUCAACAAAAUAAUCAACUGCAUCUUAUUUGCAUCUUCGAACUGUCACAAAAUGAGGACUAACCUCUUUCUCGCCCUAAUUCCAGUCGUGGCUGAAGCCAUUCACCAUUGGUACUCACUUCGUGGAAGACUUGGGCCACCACUCGAACUCAUCUCGUUCAUAACAGAAGCUAAACUCUUCUUCAAUCUUGAUAAAGCUUUGGGCAAAAGGAGCUGCUUCUAGACAGCUUUAGAAAGCAGAAAUUGAUGUUGGAUUUUGCUUAUGUGAAAGAUAAAGGGAAGAUUUUUGCUUUCUUUUGUCCAUCAAGUAUUGCAAAGCACUGGACAAGAGAUUGUAACAGUCAAUACUUCCCAGACAUCAACAAAUUUU
rnacentral:lncRNA from 1 species